UGUUGUGUGCUCUUUGGAUCCUCUUUCAUUUUGUGUGAUCUUUGGAACACUUUCAUGAAUGCAAAAAUUUAAGUCAUGAAUGAGGCCUGUUCAACUUCAUGCUGUUGAAUACAGAAUUUAUCAUGCAAUAUAGCAUUAAACAUAUAAUCCAGUAGCUCAUUGUUUUCUAGGUACAAAAAGAAGAAAACACAAUAAAAUGAGAUCAAUAAAACCGGAUGUGCCCAGUCAAGAAAUUGGUAUGAGUUGUUCUGGCCCUGCAGAAAUAUAUUCUCUGAUCACUUAUGUACCAGCCACAUCUCAACCCAUAUGUGGAGGCCCCGAACACCCAGAGUCACAUCAGGACAACACAACAGAUCCCACAGACACUAACUCUUUCAUUAUGUCUGUAAAUUCAAUUUACCAGCCCUCAGGUAAUAAGAUGUUUCUUUCAUUAAAAU